UUUUUAUGAUAAUCUAAUGAGGUAAUUAAUGCUUGUUUUUGUUGGGUUUAAGCUUUAAAAUAAGAUGCUUCGAUAAAGAAUCGAACAUUUUAUUAUUAUAUAAGAAAGUGGCGGAGGAAUACAUUUUUGUAGAUUGCCAGAGGAUCUCCAAUCCCUAUAAGCAUAAUCUUUGUAAGCAAGAAUAGUCAGAGAGCCGACCUGCAGAUUCUCGACACGUGUCCACCGAUGAUUUCCCCCACCCAAAAAAAAAUAAAAAUAAAAUAUUCAGAGAGCCAAAUGAAUUGGCAUUGUCUUCCCAAGCACACACCAAAUUCAAUGAUCAAAAACUCCCAAAUGGGUGUCCCUUUCUAAGCCCAAAU
rnacentral:lncRNA from 1 species